UUCUGAUGAUAAAAAACCCAAACAUACGACAUCGAAACAAAAAAAGGUUGAUUAACCAUGAUUCUUAAUGAUAGGACUGA
rnacentral:snoRNA from 1 species